CUGACUGAAGUCUCCCAGAAAGAGGAAACCAAGGGCAUAUUCUUCCUUGGCCACUGGAUUGAUUCAGAGAUGAGACCAUCAACACUGUCCUCACACUGGAAAUUCCUGGACACAGAUUUGAAGUAGUGUAGUGGGAAUUGGGUCUUCAGUUGGGCUUAAAAUGAUGAAAUUUAAUGGAAUAUGAAGAGAAGGGAGAAGAUAACUCUGGAAAUGCUGUGGGCAAGUGUGCAGAGAUCUGGAGGUUGGGAAAUCCAAGCUCAAGUUGCCUGCAAGG